UGGCAGAGAAGUUCUAUGCCCAUACCCGCGAUGUGCCAGAACACCCCGCACUCUGCCAACAGUGAUUACACUUGGCAUUAAUUGAAGAUGCUGAGAGCUAUAAGCCUUCCUGAGUUUAGCCACCUGGAGCAGAUUAAAAUCUGGGUCCUGUCGGGGAGAAUUCAAUCACCAGUAACACGAAGCAGGAUUAACUUGUAGAGAGCCAUCUGGAGAGAGAGGAUUCACCUUCCCCUAUAAAUAUGCUCAGAGAUUUGCCACCAUGGUUCUGAAGAAGUUGCUGAAGUUGCUCAAAGGUACAAGAAAAUCGCAGAGGAAGGAAUAUUUCCAAACUCAUUCUAUGAGGCCACCAUCACCCUGACACCAAAACCAGACAAAGACAACACAAAAAAAGAAAACUACAGGCCAAUAUCACUGAUGAACAU
ensembl:lncRNA